rnacentral:rRNA from 1 species
UGAUCAUGGCUCAGAUUGAACGCUGGCGGCAGGCCUAACACAUGCAAGUCGAGCGGCAGCGGAAGGAAGCUUGCUUCCUUGCCGGCGAGCGGCGGACGGGUGAGUAAUGUCUGGGGAUCUGCCCGAUGGAGGGGGAUAACUACUGGAAACGGUAGCUAAUACCGCAUAACGUCGCAAGACCAAAGUGGGGGACCUUCGGGCCUCACACCAUCGGAUGAACCCAGAUGGGAUUAGCUAGUAGGCGGGGUAAAGGCCCACCUAGGCGACGAUCUCUAGCUGGUCUGAGAGGAUGACCAGCCACACUGGAAC